UGGCAUUAAGGUAAAAGGAGCGAUCCGGCACGGGAUGGGCAUGCGGCGCAUUAGCUAGUCGGCGGGGUAACGGCCCACCGAGGCGACGAUGCGUAGGGGUUCUGAGAGGAAGGUCCCCCACACUGGUACUGAGACACGGACCAGACUCCUACGGGAGGCAGCAGUGAGGAAUAUUGGUCAAUGGACGCGAGUCUGAACCAGCCAAGUCGCGUGAGGGAAGACGGCCCUACGGGUUGUAAACCUCUUUUGCGGGGGAGUAAAGUGAGCCACGUGUGGUUCAUUGCGAGUACCCCGAGAAAAAGCAUCGGCUAAUUCCGUGCCAGCAGCCGCGGUAAUACGGAAGAUGCGAGCGUUAUCCGGAUUUAUUGGGUUUAAAGGGUGCGCAGGCGGCAUGUCAAGUCAGCGGUCAAAGUUCUGGGCUCAACCCAGUGAUGCCGUUGAAACUGGCGCGCUUGAGUUCGUGGGAGGAAGGCGGAAUGCGCGGUGUAGCGGUGAAAUGCAUAGAUAUCACGCAGAACCCCGAUUGCGGAGGCAGCCUUCCAUCACGUCACUGACGCUGAGGCACGAAAGCGUGGGUAUC
rnacentral:rRNA from 1 species